UGCACACUGCCGCUCUCUUGCUCACUUCGGCUCGCACCGCUUACCCGCACAAACUCUCUCGCUGCCUUCGCCCUGUUUGCUUUGGCGCUACCCGUGGCAGCCGCUCAGCGCAUCACACGCACCUCCCUCCCCCUCCCUCCCCCUCCCUCCCCCUCCCUCCCCCUCCCUCCCCCUCCCUCCCCCCUGCCACUUGCCGCACACGCACCUCUGCCAUCCGCGACAUGCGCACCACUUUGAAAGGGAUGAUGACGCGGUGCACGGCGCCGCUGCGCAAUGCCAAGUCGGCGGACUUGGGCACGUUCUUCGGCGCCUCGAUGCCCGCGGCGCAGUCCGCGGCUGGGUUUUCGUUCGGUCUCACGGAACAGCAGCUGCAGUACCAGGAGACGGCGCGAAACUUCGCCAAGGAAAAGAUGAUCCCCGUCGCGGCGGAGUACGACAGGUCGAUGAAGUACCCCCAUGAUGUGUACAAGCAGGCGUGGGAGCUUGGCUUGACUAACAUGCACAUCCCGACGAAGUACGGCGGCCUCGGCGCGAGUGUCAUGGACGGCUUGGUUGUGCAGGAGGAGCUUGCCUACGCGUGCUCGGGCAUGGCGACUGCGUUCGAGGGCAACAGCCUCGCCGAAGCGCCGCUCCUCAUCGCCGGCACGGACGCGCAGAACGCUAAGUACCUCAGCCGCAUGGUCGAAGAGCCGCUGCUGGCUGCGUACUGCGUGACGGAGCCGACGGGUGGGUCGGACGUGGCUGGCAUGAAGACGGUUGCGAAGAAGGAGGGCGACAAGUGGGUCAUCAACGGCUCCAAGAUGUGGAUCACGAACGGCGGCGUGGCGAACUGGUACUUUGUGUUGGCGCGCAGCGAGGGCGGCUUCACCGGCUUCAUCGUGGACGCCGACACGCCUGGCGUGACGCUCGGGCAGAAGGAGGUGAUGCUUGGCCAGCGGUGCAGCGACACGCGCGGCAUCAUGUUCGAGAACGUGGUGGUGCCGGAGGAGAACGUCGUGGGCGAGGCAGGCAAGGGCUUCCAGGUAGCCAUGAAGGUGUUUGACUUUACUCGUUCCGCGGUCGCUAUCAGCGCUGUCGGACUGGCCCGCCGCGCCACGGACGAGGCGACGAAGUACGCUCGCGAGCGCGUGACAAUGGGCAAGCCGAUCGCGCAGCAUCAGGCCGUAGCGUUCAUGUUGGCAGAGAUGGCGGCUGGCGUGGAGGCGUGCCGGCUCAUGACAUACCGCGCUGGCUGGGAAACGGAUCAGGGACGCCGCAACACGUACUAUGCUUCGUGCGCCAAGAUGAUGGCGUCCAACCUUGCCGAGAAGUGCUCGACGAACGCGGUGCAGAUCUUCGGGGGCAACGGCUAUAACACGGGCUACCCGGUGGAGAAGCUCUACCGUGACUGCAAGAUCUUCUCAAUCUACGAGGGCACGACGCAGAUCCAGCACGCGAUCAUCGGCCGUUACGUGACGGGGAUGCGCUGCUGAGUGCAGCGCGAGGCACGGCAGGGUAUCUGCCUUUCGAACAGUGCGCCGUAGCGCAGACGGGCACCGUGAUCAAGGACACAGGCGCGUGCUUUCUUAUAUGUGUGCGUGUGUCUGUGCAUGUGCGCCGAGCUCCGCGCGUGCUGCCUACACUGACUGGACGUUGGCUGUGUCGCCGUAGCGCGUGCGCACCCACCGAAAGAGAGGUGCGUGUGUGUGUGCGCGCCUGAACGCCUGAUAUUGUUGUUUUGCUUCGCUCCUUUGUUUUACUGGGCCUUUGCCGCCCCCUUCACGAUCUCCAGAAGAGUCGAUGUUCCUUCCCCUUCCUUUACAGCCCCCCCACCCCUCCACACACACACACACACACACACAGACACACAGACAUGCACAUGCACAUGCACAUGCACGCGCGCCCGUUGGCCUCUUGGAGUUGCUCGGGUGCACGUGUGCGAUGGUUUUGGACGGACGUGUGCUCAGGUGUGUGAGGCCUCGUUUUUCUCUCUAUGGUCGCACGGCGUGCUCUCGCUGGCGCCAAAAAAGCGUCUCUGGUCUCGCUUCAUGGUGGACUCGGCGGGCUUCGAAGUGAGUGCGAGUCGGUAGCGCGCGUCGAGGAGGGCACGCCCGCGCUACCCCGUUAGGCUUUCUAGACUCGUGGAAGCGCCCACGCAGGUGGCGCGCCACCACCUCUCCGUUCACAUGCUAGCCGCCUUGACACUCUCUCCGACUUCGUUGACAGUCGGCGCAGGCCAUUAGCAUCCACCAUCAGCAUUACUUGACAUAGCCGGUGUGUGAGCCUCUUGAAGGGGGCUGCUGCGGACAUCAUUCAUGCGUCCGCAUGCAUGCGCGUGUGCGCCACCCCUCACCUCAUCCAUGUAAGAAUACACACACACGUAGGAAUAUAUAUAUAUAUAUAUGUAUAUGCAUAUAUGCAUGUGUGUGUGUGUGUGUGUGUGCAGUCUGUGCUAGCGCGUGCCCCCCUCCCCCUUCCCCCUUUUCGUGUUCUUGCACUUCUUUCCUUCCGCACAAUUCGCUCGCCGUCCCCCACGCGGCUCGCGCCUCUUCGCUUCUCCGCUUCGCCUUCGUUGUUUGUUUCUUGUGGAUGUGCGCGUUCUGGUGCUCGCCUACCCGCUUGCUUGCUUGCUUGAUGCCGACGAAGUAUCGCCCACCCGCUUGCCCCCUCCUUCUGCUGAACCAGCGCGUGAGUGCGCACCGGGCCCCGGCGGCCGACAUGUUUUGGUGUCGUUCUCUUGCGCGUUCUUUG
rnacentral:misc_RNA from 1 species